AUUAAUAGUUAUGUUCUAAAAAUUUAAAGAAUUUGGCGGUGAUUUAGUCUUGUUAGAGGAACCUGUUUUUGAAUCGAUACACCACGCAAAAUCUUACUCGUUUUAUUAAAGUAGUUUAUAUACCGUCAUUAUCAGAUAAUUUUUAAAAAAUAUAAUUAUUAGAGUUUAAUAAAGUUAAGUGAAAUUAGAUCAAGGUGUAGCUAAUAAAUGAGUUUAAAUGGGUUACAAUAAAUUCUUAUUUAGUACGGAGUAGAGCAGGAAAAAUUCUAUAAAGGGGGAUUUAAUUGUAAUGUAAGUUAAUAAGCUUAAAAGAGAUA
rnacentral:rRNA from 1 species